rnacentral:rRNA from 2 species
CUGCACCAGAAGUAGAUAGCUUAACCUUUCGGGGAGGGCGUUUACCACGGUGUGGUUCAUGACUGGGGUGAAGUCGUAACAAGGUAGCGCUAGGGGAACCUGGCGCUGGAUCACCUCCUUAUACGAUGAU